ACGGCUCAGUAACACGUGGAUGACCUGCCCUCAGGUCCGGCAUAACCUCGGGAAACUGAGGAUAAUUCCGGAUAUCCCUUUUCUGCUGGAAGGCUUAAAGGGACAAAGAAUUUCGCCUGAGGAUGGGUCUGCGGCCUAUCAGGUUGUAGGGGGUGUAACGUACCCUCUAGCCGACAACGGGUACGGGUUGUGAGAGCAAGAGCCCGGAGAUGGAUUCUGAGACAUGAAUCCAGGCCCUACGGGGCGCAGCAGGCGCGAAAACUUUACAAUGCAGGAAACUGUGAUAAGGGAACACCGAGUGCUCGCAUCAAAUGCGGGCUGUCCACAUACCUAAAUCGUAUGUGUUAGCAAGGGCCGGGCAAGACCGGUGCCAGCCGCCGCGGUAAUACCGGUGGCCCGAGUGGUAGCCGCUUUUAUUGGGUCUAAAGGUCCGUAGCCUGUCUGAUCAGUCCAUUGGGAAAUCCGGAUGCUCAACAUCCGGGCUUCCAGUGGAUACUGUCAGACUUGGGAUCGGGGGAGGUAAGAGGUACUACA
rnacentral:rRNA from 1 species